rnacentral:rRNA from 1 species
UCUUGGUCAUUUAGAGGAAGUAAAAGUCGUAACAAGGUUUCCGUAGGUGAACCUGCGGAAGGAUCAUUACCUAGAGUUUGUAGACUUCGGUCUGCUACCUCUUACCCAUGUCUUUUGAGUACCUUCGUUUCCUCGGCGGGUCCGCCCGCCGAUUGGACAACAUUCAAACCCUUUGCAGUUGCAAUCAGCGUCUGAAAAAACAUAAUAGUUACAACUUUCAACAACGGAUCUCUUGGUUCUGGCAUCGAUGAAGAACGCAGCGAAAUGCGAUAAGUAGUGUGAAUUGCAGAAUUCAGUGAAUCAUCGAAUCUUUGAACGCACAUUGCGCCCCUUGGUAUUCCAUGGGGCAUGCCUGUUCGAGCGUCAUUUGUACCUUCAAGCUCUGCUUGGUGUUGGGUGUUUGUCUCGCCUCUGCGUGUAGACUCGCCUUAAAACAAUUGGCAGCCGGCGUAUUGAUUUCGGAGCGCAGUACAUCUCGCGCUUUGCACUCAUAACGACGACGUCCAAAAGUACAUUUUUACACUCUUGACCUCGGAUCAGGUAGGGAUACCCGCUGAACUUAAGCAUAUCAAUAAGCGGAGG